rnacentral:rRNA from 1 species
CACGGCGCACCGGGUGCGUAACACGUGGGUAACUGCCCUGCAAUGGGGGAUAACCCGCCGAAAGGCGGGCUAAUACCGCAUGAUAUUCCGGUGGCUUCGGACGCCGGAAUCAAAGCCCGCAAGGGCGUUGGAGGAGGGGCCCGCGGCCGAUUAGCUAGUUGGUGAGGUAACGGCUCACCAAGGCUGUGAUCGGUAGCCGGUCUGAGAGGAUGGCCGGCCACACUGGAACUGAGACACGGUCCAGACUCCUACGGGAGGCAGCAGUGGGGAAUCUUGCGCAAUGGGCGAAAGCCUGACGCAGCGACGCCGCGUGGGGGAUGAAGCUUUUCGGAGUGUAAACCCCUUUCGACCCGGACGAAACGCCCGCAAGGGCUUGACGGUACGGGUAUAAGAAGCCCCGGCUAACUACGUGCCAGCAGCCGCGGUAAGACGUAGGGGGCCAGCGUUGCUCGGAAUUACUGGGCGUAAAGGGUCCGUAGGCGGUGUAGCAAGUCGAUAGUGAAAUCUCUGCGCUUAACGCAGAGGCUGCUAACGAAACUGCUGUGCUAGAGUGUGAGAGAGGCGAGUGGAAUUACGGGUGUAGCGGUGAAAUGCGUAGAUAUCCGUAGGAACAUCCGAGGCGAAGGCGGCUCGCUGGAUCACAAC